GGGGGCGACGUAGGCUUCGACGGGGGUUGCAAAACCUAAAGUGCAUGCCGAGGUGCAGAGUACCUCGCUAAACCAUCUGCAAACUUAUAGUUGCCAACGACGACAACUACGCACUCGCUGCUUAAUACCCAGUAGGGUGCCGUCUGACUGGAGCCGUGCUUGUGCGUCCAGCUUUUCAGGCGUCAUAUCUCACAAGAUCGCGUUGAAGCUCGUCCGGGGUGGAAACGUUAAAACCUAUC
rnacentral:tmRNA from 1 species